CUCCCAAUGAUGGCUGCUCCAUUCACAAUACCCCAAAAUGAAGAAUAUGACAAUAAGCAAUUCUCUUCUUCACUUUGGGGCCAUUCGUAAACAGCUCUCUUCCAUUAAUCAUAUCUGGAUUGGUAAUUUUUUAGAAUCCUAAUAAGUUCACAAUUGCAUUCAGUCGCAUGGGCACAUCAUCCCCAUUUAGGUUCCAGGGGUACAUUACCAAACAUGUAGAAAACAGGUAAAGGUCCCUGAACUUUACCUCGAGUUACAAUUGAGCCCUGCAACUUUUUUUUUGAGACAAUUACAUCCGGUAACUCAACAAUCUACUGUCCAAAUUUGUCAAUGUGGCCCUCAAAAUGAGGGCUAAAAGCGUCAUUUCAAAUUCCUCAAUCCCCUUCUACCUCUUCUACCUCCUCAACCCCUCGCCACCAUAACUAUCACCACCAUCACAUGUGCUUUUGGUCCCACCAUAACCAUCAAUCACCACCGACCCCUCUCCCAAGUCUGCAAACGAAGUCAUUCUGGUGAUUGAGGCUUACAAGGCACUGCGUGAUCGGGCCCCUACCCAUCUCUACCUUGUUUGUAGCUUCUCUAAAUCCUUCCACCUCAGCCAAAUGCGGGAGAAGAAGACGAUGAUGCUGGGAGUGGGAGAAGAAUACAGAGAGAGAUCAAUGCGUGGGUGGGUGUCUGAGUUUUUAUCUCGGCGUAAUAGAAGAAGACGAUGAUGCUGGGAGUGGGAGGACUCAAUUAAUGUUUUAACCCUCUAAUUAAUAGCCAAUUUUACAGAGGAUGUGUAGUACGCAAUUGCAACUAUUUAUUAAGUUGACGGAUGUAAUUGCCUUAAAAAAUAGUUGCGGGUUUUAAUUGAAACUCAAAGUAAAAUUCAGGGAUCUCUACAGUUUAAAAACCUUAUAAAUUUAAUUAAUUAUUAGUUUUUAGGACAAUUUCUAUUGAGAAGGGUGAUAAUAUACGAAAUUCACACAUAGCACACAAAUACUAGGACUCAAACUCAGGAUUUUUCUUAAACCACUACACUAGUGAGUCCUUUGCAA
rnacentral:lncRNA from 1 species